rnacentral:misc_RNA from 1 species
GAUGAAGAACGUAGCGAAAUGCGAUAAGUAAUGUGAAUUGCAGAAUUCAGUGAAUCAUCGAAUGUUUGAACGCACAUUGCGCCCGCCAGUAUUCUGGCGGGCAUGCCUGUCUGAGCGUCAUUUCAACCCUCAUGCCCCUAGGGCGUGGUGUUGGGGAUCGGCCAAAGCCCGCGAGGGACGGCCGGCCCCUAAAUCUAGUGGCGGACCCGUCGUGGCCUCCUCUGCGAAGUAGUGAUAUUCCGCAUCGGAGAGCGAUGAGCCCCUGCCGUUAAACCCCCAACUUUCCAAGGUUGACCUCAGAUCAGGUAGGAAUACCCGCUGAACUUAAGCAUAUCAAUAAGCGGAGGA